UUAUGGCGUCAGGAUGAACGCUGGCGAUAGGCCUAACACAUGCAAGUCGAGGGGCAGCAUAGAGUAGCAAUACUUUGAUGGCGACCGGCGCACGGGUGAGUAACACGUAUGCAACCUACCUACAUCAGGGGAAUAACCCGGAGAAAUUCGGACUAAUACCGCAUAAUACAGGGAUGCCGCAUGGUAAUAUUUGUUAAAGAUUUAUCGGAUGUAGAUGGGCAUGCGUUCCAUUAGCUGGUUGGUAAGGUAACGGCUUACCAAGGCAACGAUGGAUAGGGGAACUGAGAGGUUUGUCCCCCACACUGGAACUGAGACACGGACCAGACUCCUACGGGAGGCAGCAGUGAGGAAUAUUGGUCAAUGGACGAGAGUCUGAACCAGCCAAAUCGCGUGAAAAGGAAGACUGCCCUACGGGUUGUAAACUUCUUUUGUACAGGAAUAAAAGACAUUACGUGUAAUGUAUUGCAUGUACUGUACGAAUAAGCAUCGGCUAACUCCGUGCCAGCCGCCGC
rnacentral:rRNA from 1 species